CAGAGUUUUCUUUUUUGGCCAGGCUGGAAUGCGGUGGCGAGAUCUGGGCUCACUGCAGCCUCUGCCUCCUGGGUUGAACCGAUUUUCCUGUCUCAGCCUCCGGAGUAGUUGACAUUACAGACGCGCACAACCAUGCCCGGCUAAUUUUUGUAUUUUCGAUACAAACGAGGUUUCACUAUAUUGGCUAGGCUGGUCUCGAACUUCUGACUUCAAGUGAUCUGACUGCCUCAGCCUCUGAAAGUGCUGGGAUUAUAGUCAUAAGCCACACUUCCUGGCCCAAAAAAUAUUCAUUUCUUUACUCUUUAAAUUUUGAGAAAAUAUAAUGGAAAACAAAAAAAAUCUUCCCCCCAAUGAGAAAUCAUCUUCACGAUGAUAAUAGUGAAAGAAAUAAAAACCACAUUAUUAAUAAGUAAGCCUUAAACCAGAAUGUGAUGGGAAAUUGAGGCAAACAGCUAAGAGGUUGAAAAGAGACAAGGAAACUUCACUGUUCUAUACAACCCAUUGAGUACAUGUUUUCAAGAUAAACACUAAUCAGUCCUCAGGGAAGAGGACUUGACAACACUCUUGGUCACACAUAGUUCAUCCUGGCUCUAUUUGGUAAUGGAGGUGACCAUCUGUGUCAGCUAAUUAGCUUCAUCCAGAGGGAGGGGGAAAACCCUAACCCAUGUCUUUUUGACGAGUGUGAGUUUUACAACAUAGCGACGCGUGCCCUCUCUGGUCAGGCGCCUACAAUCCGACAGAAACUGACGUCAGCA
rnacentral:lncRNA from 1 species